rnacentral:tRNA from 1 species
UGGCCGGUAGUGUAACGGGCAGCACAGGUCCCUUUGAAGGAUCUAGUCAAGGUUCAAAUCCUUGCCGGCCAGCCA